rnacentral:rRNA from 1 species
GAGAGUGGGUAGUCCGCACGAGCGCACCUCACUUUUAGUUGCCAUCAUUAAGUUGGGCACUCUGAAAGAACUGCCAGUGAUAAGCUGGAGGAAGGUGGGGAUGACGUCAAGUCCUCAUGGCCCUUACGUGUUGGGCUACACACGUGCUACAAUGGUAUCUACAACAGGAAGCAAAACGGCAACGUUAAGCAAAUCCCUAAAAGAUACCUCAGUUCGGAUUGCACUCUGCAACUCGAGUGCAUGAAGCUGGAAUUACUAGUAAUCGUGGAUCAGCGUGCCACGGUGAAUGCGUUCCCGGGUCUUGUACACACCGCCCGUCACACCAUGGGAGUUGGUUCUACCUUAAGGCAAGGUUUUAAACCCUUGACCACGGUAUAGUCAGCGACUGGGGUGAAGUCGUAACAAGGUAGCCGUAGGGGAACCUGCGGCUGGAUUACCUCCUUUCU